rnacentral:rRNA from 1 species
GAUUCCUACGGGACGCAGCAGUGAGGAAUAUUGGUCAAUGGGCGGAAGCCUGAACCAGCCAAGUCGCGUGAGGGAUUAAGGCCCUGCGGGUCGUAAACCUCUUUUGCCGGGGAGCAGAGGUCCGGACGUGUCCGGGCCAGGAGAGUACCCGGAGAAAAAGCAUCGGCUAACUCCGUGCCAGCAGCCGCGGUAAUACGGAGGAUGCGAGCGUUAUCCGGAUUUAUUGGGUUUAAAGGGUGCGUAGGCGGGCAUUUAAGCCGGCGGUCAAAUGUCGGGGGUCAAAGCCGGGCUGGCGUCGGGAAUGG